rnacentral:rRNA from 1 species
AUUGAACGCUGGCGGCAUGCCUUACACAUGCAAGUCGAACGGCAGCACGGGAGCAAUCCUGGUGGCGAGUGGCGAACGGGUGAGUAAAGUAUCGGAACGUGCCCAGUCGUGGGGGAUAACGUAGCGAAAGUUACGCUAAUACCGCAUACGAUCUAUGGAUGAAAGCGGGGGAUCGCAAGACCUCGCGCGAUUGGAGCGGCCUAUAUCCGAUUAAGUAGUUGGUGGGGUAAAGGCCCACCAAGCAGACGAUCUGGAGCUGGUCUGAGAGGACGACCAGCCACACUGGGACUGAGACACGGCCAAGACUCCUACGGGAGGCAGCAGUGGGGAAUUUUGGACAAUGGGCGAAAGCCUGAUCCAGCCAUGCCGCGUGCAGGAUGAAGGCCUUCGGGUUGUAAACUGCUUUUGUACGGAACGAAAAGGACUGCCCUAAUACGGUGGUCCCAUGACGGUACCGUAAGAAUAAGCACCGGCUAACUACGUGCCAGCCGCCGCUGUAACAC